rnacentral:rRNA from 1 species
AACGAACGCUGGCGGCAUGCCUAACACAUGCAAGUCGAACGAGAACUUCGGGCCUAGUGGCGCACGGGUGCGUAAAGCGUGGGAACACGCCUUUAGGAUCGGCAUAACACCCCGAAAGGGGUGCUAAUACCGGGUAAUGUCUCCGGACCAAAGAUUUAUCGCCUUUGGAGGGGCCCGCGUUGGAUUAGCUAGUUGGUAGGGUAAAGGCCUGCCAAGGCGACGAUCCAUAGCUGGUCUGCGAGGGUGCUCAGCCACACUGGGACUGAGACACGGCCCCGACUCCUACGGGAGGCGGCAGUGGGGACUAUUGGACAAUGGGCGAGAGCCUGCUCCAGCGAUGCCGCGUGAGUGGUGAAGGCGUUGGGGUUGUAAAGCUCUUUUACCCGAGAUGAUAAUGACAGUACCGGGAGAAUAAGCUCCGGCUAACUCCGUG